GAGGGGCUGGCAAUGACUUCACCGAGACAGCCAAGGCUGGACCUGGUGCCGAGCCCGGUGGGCACUUGAUAUUUUCAGGCAGGAACACACACUGGUUAUAAAAAGGAGGGAAAAACUCUUUUCAUUGCCUGUCUGAAGUUAUUCCCUGGGCUCUCCCUGGGAUGUCGUGGAGGAACCUGGGGCUGCAGAUUAAAGCAAAACAUCUCCGUGCUGGCCAGCAGCGAGUUAAGGUAAAAUGUUUCCAAAAAGGUUAAAGAGCUUUGCAUCUUGGAGACAGAGGAGGCAGGCUCCGGGAUCUUACAGGACUUGGAAUAAGAUGGUGACAAGGUCUUGUCCCAAAAGGUCAUUGCCGUGGGUGGCUGCCAGGCUGUGUCCUUCCACUCCAUCCAUCCACCUCCUGCUUCCAUUCAGGACAUACUGGGAAGGAACAGAGAGGCAGGAGUCAUUUUUAGGCAGCUAAUUGAGUUACAGCCCCGGCUCCGGUCCCUGUGCCCACAGGGAAACGUGUCCAGCAGCAGGAUCUGACCCUCUGCAUUGCACCACCCUGCAAAUGCUCCCCUGAACGUCAGCAGAGCAUUCCCAGGGGCUCUGGCUCAGCUCUGGCAUCACUCCCUGCACGGAGCAGGAUCAGGAAUCUGCUCCCGGAGGGGAAGGUCGGGAACACCACCAGCAGUGGUGGCACACACGGAGCUGUCUGGGACACGAGGGGCUUUAUCAGCUCCUGAACGCUUUGGGGAUGUCCUGGUGGAUCCAGCUGUCUCCUGGGGGUGUUCCCAAUCCAUGGGGCUGUGUUCCCACCCCCAGGCACGGUUUGAGCUGAGCUGUGAGUGAGGGAUUAAUCAAUCAGAGUCCUCACCUUUCCCUCUCAGCCAUGUCUUGUUUCUCUUCUGCCCUGUAAACACAAAUCACGUUUGGGAUCGUCACCCAGAGGUGAGCAGUGGGAAGGAGGGGAGAAUCCAGGGCCCUUCUGGGGUGAUGGAUGGACCUUGGAG